CCCAGCCUCGAGUAGCGGCUCGGCUUCUGUGGGAUGUGGGUAAGCGCUAAAGUCUACCUCGGGCUACCUGGUAAGAGGCUCGGAAGGGACGACCCCAACGUCCUCGCUGCCUGGCUGCUGCGCACUCGGACCUGUCCUGAAAGAGUAGGGACAUCCCACCCUGGACAAGAACCAGUCACCGCCCACCUGGACGGCCACGCAGGCGCACCUGCUUCAUCAGGACCCCUCGCCCAGCCUGGGAGCCGCUGCGCGUGGGGUCCCGCCCACCACCCGCUGCCUUACCCUGGUGCAUCUGAGAAAGCUGCAGACACCAACGGGCUUGCUGCAGUUCCCCUAUGGCGCGAUCCCCUCACCCUCCGAGUGUACGCCCUCGCCCAAUGACGUCACCUGCUCCUGCACCGUCCAGCAGGGACCCAGGAACUCUAAGCAAGCAGCAAGUGCUACCCUUUCCUCUUGCUUUCUUUUGCUCCAGGCAUCAGACAUUCUGAAAUCAAGGUGCUGACUGUGCAUCUAGAGGGGAACCAUGUGGCUGUGCGGAGCUCGACUCAAGGAACCACCCGUUCCUCAGGGCUCUUCCACCCCAUCUAUCGAGACAGAGGCUCGCCUGAACCUCAUCCAAGCUGCAGACUGAACUUGGAAUGAGACACUGGCCUAAAUUUAACCCCAAGAAAACAAGCUCCCAAGCGUUUGCACCAGGGUGGGGUGGCGCUGUUCUAGGACACCACCGGCCGAAGAGAGCACAGGAGAGCUGUGGCCUGCGUGACCUCGCUCUGCCUGCUGGUUAGUUUUAGUUUUUAGCUUGACACAGAUGGGUGAGAGGGUGCUAGAACACUGCUUCUUAAACUGUGGAGUUUGAAUGUGGUGUUGUAAAGAAUUUGGCAAGAAUAAAAGGUUUCUGAACACACAAUAGGAAAUGAAUUAAAAACUUAGACCUAUCCAGAACCCGAGGUAGUUUCUGGUGAUAGACUUUACCACAACCUCGGUUCUGGGCACAAGGCACGGCACACUCUGUGUCAUGCGUGCAAUGACCAUGCAUCGCCAAAGAACCCCCGGAGCACCGCUGCUCGGGCUGAGUCUGUCUCUGUGAACCGCGAUGCUGACAGGAACAGACUUCUGUGUUUUCCUGUGACCUCAGCAUGCAGGUGUCAAGCUGGUGUGCUAGUGCAUCCUACUGGGUUAGAACACUUGAGUUCAAAACAUCGUUGUCUGAAUUAGUGACUUGAGUUUCAUUAAAAAUUGUUUAAUGAAUUUUGGCUUUGGAUCAGAACAGAAUUUCUAACAAUUCUGUGACCAUAAACAUACUUCUGCCAUUUUGUGUCUACAUUUAUUUAAAACUUUAUUCACAGCAUUGAUCCCUACAGAUCACAAUAUGUUGAGCUGGGUGUGAUGGUGGGAUGGUGAGUCCUGUGGGAACUGAGGUAGGAGGGUGGCUGACAGGUUCAAGGCCAGCAUGGACUACAGCAUGAACUCUGCCUCAGAAAAAAACAAACAAACAGAAAACAAAGCAGCAAUGAAACCGACCAAGCAGCAAUGACCGAGGGGCUUGGGAUGCAGCUCAGAUGCUGGCGUGCUUGUCCACUCUGUGCCAAAUCUGCUCUGCUCAAAACUGGCCGUGGUGGCACUUUUGCCAUCCCACCUCUUGGGAGGCAGACGCCAGAGGAGCAGACAUUCAAAAGUUUCCUCAGCUACAGUGAUUUCAGGUUCAUGCUGGACCGCAUGAGCCCUGACUCAAAGCCAAGCCAAACCAA